rnacentral:rRNA from 1 species
UACGGAGGGGGCUAGCGUUGUUCGGAAUUACUGGGCGUAAAGCGCACGUAGGCGGCUUUGUAAGUUAGAGGUGAAAGCCCGGAGCUCAACUCCGGAAUUGCCUUUAAGACUGCAUCGCUAGAAUUGUGGAGAGGUAAGUGGAAUUCCGAGUGUAGAGGUGAAAUUCGUAGAUAUUGGGAAGAACACCGGUGGCGAAGGCGGCUCUCUGGACCGAGACUGACGCUGAGGCGCGAAAGCGUGGGGAGCAAACAGG